UACAGAGGUGGCAAGCGUUGUUCGGAUUUAUUGGGCGUAAAGGGUCCGUAGGCGGUUUGAAAGUCAGAUGUGAAACGCCCACAGCUCAACUGUGGAACUGCAUUUGAAACUUCCAGACUAGAGUAUGAGAGGGGUUAAGGGAAUUCCCGGUGUAAGGGUGAAAUCUGCAGAGAUCGGGAGGAACACCAGUCGCGAAGGCGCUUAACUGGCUCAUUACUGACGCUCA
rnacentral:rRNA from 1 species